CCUACGGGUGGCAGCAGUGGGGAAUAUUGGACAAUGGGCGAAAGCCUGAUCCAGCCAUGCCGCGUGUGUGAAGAAGGCCUUCGGGUUGUAAAGCACUUUCAGUGGGGAAGAAAGCCUUGGGGCUAAUACCCUCGAGGAAGGACAUCACCCACAGAAGAAGCACCGGCUAACUCCGUGCCAGCAGCCGCGGUAAUACGGAGGGUGCGAGCGUUAAUCGGAAUUACUGGGCGUAAAGCGCGCGUAGGCGGUCUGAUAAGCCGGUUGUGAAAGCCCCGGGCUCAACCUGGGAACGGCAUCCGGAACUGUCAGGCUAGAGUGCAGGAGAGGAAGGUAGAAUUCCCGGUGUAGCGGUGAAAUGCGUAGAGAUCGGGAGGAAUACCAGUGGCGAAGGCGGCCUUCUGGACUGACACUGACGCUGAGGUGCGAAAGCGCGGGUAGCAAACAGGAUUAGAUACCCUUGUAGUC
rnacentral:rRNA from 1 species